rnacentral:rRNA from 1 species
UACGUAGGGCGCAAGCGUUGUCCGGAAUUAUUGGGCGUAAAGAGCGUGUAGGCGGCUCGGUAAGUCCGCUGUGAAAGUCCAGGGCUCAACCCUGGAAUGCCGGUGGAAACUGUCGAGCUAGAGUCCGGAAGAGGCGAGUGGAAUUCCUGGGUGUAGCGGUGAAAUGCGCAGAUAUCAAGGAGGAACACCAAUGGCGAAGGCAGCUCGCUGGGACGGUACUGACGCUGGAGACGCGAAAGCGUGGGAGCAAACAGG